rnacentral:rRNA from 1 species
UACGUAGGUGGCGAGCGUUGUCCGGAAUUACUGGGCGUAAAGGGUGCGUAGGCGGCUCCUUAAGUGAGGUGUGAAAUCCCUGGGCUCAACCCAGGAACUGCACUUCAAACUGGGGAGCUAGAGUGCAGGAGAGGAAAGCGGAAUUCCCGGUGUAGCGGUGAAAUGCGUAGAGAUCGGGAGGAACACCAGUGGCGAAGGCGGCUUUCGGGACUGUAACUGACUUUGAGGCACGAAAGCGUGGGGAGCAAACAGG